rnacentral:misc_RNA from 1 species
GAUGAAGAACGUAGCAAAAUGCGAUAAGUAAUGUGAAUUGCAGAAUUCAGUGAAUCAUCGAAUCCUUGAACGCACAUUGCGCCCGCCAGUAUUCUGGCGGGCAUGCCUGUUCGAGCGUCAUUUCAACCCUCAAGCACAGCUUGGUGUUGGGACUCGCGUUAAUUCGCGUUCCCCAAAUUGAUUGGCGGUCACGUCGAGCUUCCAUAGCGUAGUAGUAAAACCCUCGUUACUGGUAAUCGUCGCGGCCACGCCGUUAAACCCCAACUUCUGAAUGUUGACCUCGGAUCAGGUAGGAAUACCCGCUGAACUUAAGCAUAUCAAUAAGCGGAGGA